CGGGAGUAACGCGUGAGGAACCUGCCUCAAAGAAGGGGGACAACAGUUGGAAACGACUGCUAAUACCGCAUAAGCCCACGGCUCGGCAUCGAGCAGAGGGAAAAGGAGCAAUCCGCUUUGAGAUGGCCUCGCGUCCGAUUAGCUAGUUGGUGAGGUAAUGGCCCACCAAGGCGACGAUCGGUAGCCGGACUGAGAGGUUGAACGGCCACAUUGGGACUGAGACACGGCCCAG
rnacentral:rRNA from 1 species